ACUCUGAAAGCACUACUUCUUUUAGUGCUGCUGGUAUUCGUAAGUCAGCUGGGUACUAUGCAACGUCUUCUUUCUUGCUGCUUUUAUUAUUUUAUCUUCAUCUAUUCCAUUCCAUUAUUCUUCACUUACUAAACUAAAAGUAGUAAUUCAAUUAGCAAUCGAGUUCUGAUCAGCUAAUUACCGUGAAAUCGAAUUCGAAUUGAUGUGGCACCUAAAGGAUUUGCUGCACUUCCUGGGAAAGAAGUCGUCUUGGUAUUGGAUCUGCUUUUCUCUCGUGCUCUUCUGGGCGGUACAAAUAAAUCCGGAAUGAGCACACCGAUAACGCCUAACGCCGGACCGGAACUCUUCCCUUCAAACUAAAUCCCUUCUAUUGCGGGUUUCGAACUACUCGCUACUAUAGUGAAAAAGUCCAGUUGACGUAGCGUAGGUGGAAGAAGAUCGGACUCAGUUCCUUUUCGUGAUAACUUCAUUCUUGGUCCGGUGGGUUAGAAGCAUAAUAAGAGAUUCCCCAUCCCGGAAUGAAGAUUAAUGCUUGAAUAGUCUUUUCCCGAGCCCAAGGAGAUAAAUUGAUCCCCGCCUCUGGCUGCUCCUGCCCCUUAAUACCUUUUGAAAAGGGUUCAAACUAAGAAGAGUAUGCCUUGAAAGGAAAUGGCCUGGACAUUAUUUUAUUUUAUUUUGGAAAUCCAUUUUUUAAUAUCUAGUUUCUCUGAUGAUGCUUAACCGCUCGUCGAGCAGCUUUUCAUUUUCUUUUUCUUCGAUGUAAACUGCGAUUCUUCAUUCAUUGUAGCAUCUUGCUUUGCUCUACGCUGGCACAAGGGUUUUAAGAGAAGAGGGGAGUGUUUUUUUGUUUGCUUAAAGUUUAUGUCUUUUGCUUUCCUUCUUGGGAAAUGCAUUUUUAGGGCAAGAGUCUGAACUUAGGGAACGCGGGGUUGACUGCACUCAACAAAAAAUCAAAGCGAGUCAACCCAUUCAUUACUGGUGAUCAAAGCAAAGUAGAUUCAUCGGAAGGACAGUCUAUCCUUUAUUCUCACCACAUUCUCUCCUCAAUACAACACUAGAACGAAAAGAAGAAGGAGAAGCUCAUGACUUUCCACUUCCUUUCUUUUAAACGAGAUUGGAACCGGAUAGCUCUUUCAUCCAUGAUCCGAGAGUCCGUCCAAUAUGUCGGCCAGCUUUCUUUGGCAGGUUCACAGUGGAAAGUGGAUCAGGCAGAUCAAGCUUCAAGGCUUCAAAACAUGGAUAACUUAGAGAUAAAAAUAGGGAUAGGAGUUUUCACUUCCCUCUCCUUUUAGGCGAGCAUCUUCUCUUCUCUUUGCGAUUAUCAGUCUAAACCAACAUAUCUUAUUGAUUGUCGCUUAUCGGCUGUAACAUAUCUGAUUGUUUUCGCAUAUCAGUUGUAUGCCUUAGCAACGAGGCAGCAC
rnacentral:misc_RNA from 1 species